GUCAAGUGACUAAGUGCAUGUGGUGGAUGCCUUGGCGAUUACAGGCGACGAAGGACGUGAUAGCCUGCGAUAAGCUUCGGGGAGCUGGCAAAUUAGCUUUGAUCCGGAGAUUUCCGAAUGGGGAAACCCACCGAAAGGUAUCGUAUUCUGAAUACAUAGGGAUACGAGGCGAACCGGGUGAACUGAAACAUCUCAGUAGCUCGAGGAAAAGACAUCAACCGAGAUUCCGAAAGUAGUGGCGAGCGAAAUCGGAGUAGCCCUCGCGUUUUAGCAGUUUGUAUAUCAGAACGGAAUGGAAAGUCCGGCCACAGCGGGUGAUAGCCCCGUAUGAGAAAUGCAGAUUGUGGAACUAGGCGCGAAUAGAGUAGGGCGGGACACGUGAAAUCCUGUCUGAAUAUGGGGGGACCAUCCUCCAAGGCUAAAUACUCGUAAUCGACCGAUAGUGAACAAGUACCGUGAGGGAAAGGCGAAAAGAACCCCGGGAGGGGAGUGAAAUAGAUCCUGAAACCGCAUGCAUACAAAAAGUCGGAGCCGCAAGGUGACGGCGUACCUUUUGUAUAAUGGGUCAGCGACUUACAUUCAGUGGCGAGGUUAACCGAAUAGGGAAGCCGUAGAGAAAUCGAGUCCGAAUAGGGCGAAUAGUCGCUGGGUGUAGACCCGAAACCAAGUGAUCUAUCCAUGGCCAGGAUGAAGGUACCGUAACAGGUGCUGGAGGUCCGAACCGACUAGUGUUGCAAAACUAGCGGAUGAGCUGUGGAUAGGGGUGAAAGGCUAAACAAACUUGGAAAUAGCUGGUUCUCUCCGAAAACUAUUUAGGUAGUGCCUCAAGUAUUACCUGCGGGGGUAGAGCACUGUUUAGGUUAGGGGGUCAUGGCGACUUACCAAACCUUAGCAAACUCCGAAUACCGCAGAGUACAGCUUGGGAGACAGAGCACCGGGUGCUAACGUCCGGACUCAAGAGGGAAACAACCCAGACCGCCAGCUAAGGUCCCUAAAAUUGGCUAAGUGGGAAACGAAGUGGGAAGGCUAAAACAGUCAGGAUGUUGGCUUAGAAGCAGCCAUCAUUUAAAGAAAGCGUAAUAGCUCACUGAUCGAGUCGUCCUGCGCGGAAGAUGUAACGGGGCUAAGCCAGUUACCGAAGCUGCGGAUGCAUCGCAAGAUGCGUGGUAGGAGAGCGUUCUGUAAGCCUGUGAAGGUGGGUUGUGAAGCCUGCUGGAGGUAUCAGAAGUGCGAAUGCUGACAUGAGUAGCGUUAAAGGGGGUGAAAAGCCCCCUCGCCGAAAGCGCAAGGUUUCCUACGCAACGUUCAUCGGCGUAGGGUGAGUCGGCCCCUAAGGCGAGGCAGAGAUGCGUAGCUGAUGGGAAACAGGUCAAUAUUCCUGUACCGAUCAAUAGUGCGAUGUGGGGACGGAGAAGGUUAGCUCAGCCGGGUGUUGGAUGUCCCGGUUCAAGCCUGUAGUCGUGCCUGGUAGGCAAAUCCGCCGGGCUUAGAUGAGGGGUGAUAACGAGGAGGCUUGCCUCCGAAGUGAGUGAUACCCUGCUUCCAGGAAAAGCCACUAAGCUUCAGCUAUUGACGACCGUAC
rnacentral:rRNA from 13 species